rnacentral:rRNA from 1 species
CAGUCGCCACGGUAAUACGUAGGUGGCAAGCGUUAUCCGGAAUUAUUGGGCGUAAAGCGCGCGUAGGCGGUUUUUUAAGUCUGAUGUGAAAGCCCACGGCUCAACCGUGGAGGGUCAUUGGAAACUGGAAAACUUGAGUGCAGAAGAGGAAAGUGGAAUUCCAUGUGUAGCGGUGAAAUGCGCAGAGGUAUGGAGGAACACCAGUGGCGAAGGCGACUUUCUGGUCUGUAACUGACGCUGAUGUGCGAAAGCGUGGGGAUCAAACAGGAUUAGAUACCCCAGUAGUCCCUGUCUCUUAUAA